GGGUGUAGGUGCACUUCUCCUCUCCAAGCUUGUGAGAGACCCCGAGACUUCUCUCGAAAUCUUAGUCUUAGACAAUUAUCAUCUAUUAUGUAUUGUGGUGAUUACGUAUGACAGUGCAGUUUCUGUGAAGGAUGUUUUUUUGAGUGAUACACGAACAAACUUCGCGAAAGUAAGAGAUAUGUAUUAAAACAAAAGGAUUUUUUCGUCGUUGAUUUACAUCGACUUCAGUGCCCACAAGAUAUUCUUCGAGUGUUUGCUUAUAUAAAUCGUCGCCAUCGACAGACUUUUGGCGUCCAGAUGAGGUCACCUUCCUGCGACUGAUCCUCAACUCCGCUGUGACGGAAGUUUGUGUUGAAUUGAAUUGGUCUGCGAAGAAUGUUCAAAAUCCUGGGGAUAUGGUAACACUGCGCGACCACACGCCAUCUGCUGCUCAUUUGACUGUUGUUGGUUCUGUUUUCUUUUUUUAUGUUCAUUUGUCUGCCUAACGCGACUUUUUAUGCCAUUCCUGGAUAUUUCAUAGAGGUUUGGAAGAGUACGUAUUACAUAUUUAUUACUCUGUAAAAAGAAUUGUGAGUGAAA